rnacentral:rRNA from 1 species
GGUCGUAUCAAUUUAAAAGACUGCUCGG